UCAUUUCCACUAACAGGGAUUGUGAAAUGGUGAUCUAAUGCUGUUUGUGAUAGACAUUUUCAUUAUCACAAAUCCAAUUCCCUUCCCUCGCCCCCCUCUCCAGGCGUGUAUGUUUUGCCCGGUGCCCUGAACGAUGCACUCUUUACCUGGCAGACAGGUGGGUAUAGACGGGCACCACCUCCCCCCCUUUUUCCACAUGCCCCCCCUACCCACCAUAACCCCCAUGCCCGCCUCCAACCCCCAGCCUCUGUCCAGCCCCCACCCUGCCAGCCACACACACCAGAACGGUCCCAAGUGUCAGAUGAAAGGCUUCCACAAUCCAGCUGUGGUCCACAGUCCUGCCCUGGCCAACCGUGUACACACCCACCCUCUCACACACGCCCACACACACUCUCACACGCAGUACCGCAACACCUGGCGGCGUCGGAAGAGGGACAGCUUACCAGUCAGCCUGAGCAGAUAAAAAGACAAAACAUCUUCUCCUCCCUUUAUCCCUCUUUCCACUCCUCCAUUCUGACUGAUUGGGAGGACAACUUGAUGGGACAAUGCCCCCUGCUGUUCAACUUAAAGAAAGACAGGCAGGCAGAGACCAGACCAGCAUUGGGAUUCAUUCAACACUUUGGGCUGCUGAACUCGGGCUGCGGAUAGGGAAAAAAGUGUAGCUCUGGGAAAACUCUCCGUUUCUCUCCCUCCCUCCAUUGCUCUUAAUUUCUGCAUGUUUUUCACUGCGCAACGAACCAACGGCCAACGAUACAGGAAUGAGCGGUGCGGCUAGCGAAKAAAACGCAACCCCGCCCAACGUGCACUCUGACCCCAGAACUUUUCAGCUAGCUCUCCAGUCCUUCACUUUCUGUUUGGGAUUCACAUUUGUUUGUUUUAUUUUGUUCCGUUAAUGUGUCUUAUUGUUCAAUUUGAAUAUUUUUUUAGCGCUUUGCAGUUUUUCACUUACGUUUGGUGAGACUGAGAAUAGUGACAUCUUUGCCAGGUGGGAGUUGCGAAAGCCCAGUGUCUUAUGGGAAAGUGUUUAUUUUUGUUUGGUCUGACUGGGUUACGUUGUCAAGGCGACAACCUUUGUCCUUGAACCCUGCAGCCAAACUGCGUCUUUUUCAGUGUUCACACAAGGAACGACGGUUUCUCAUUUGUGCAAUAACAUGUUCUAAUUUUUAAGUAAAUGUUUAUUUAAUUUUUAUUAUGUAUGUAAAGGAAUUUGAUGUUUUUUUAAGAUUGUUUUAUUUUUGUAUUUUUAUUUUUUAUGGCAGAGUUUACAGAACCUUUGCCCAGGUGGCCUCCGAGAGUGUGUGACGAGAGCGUGCGUGUCUUGUUGGAGUGUCGAGGUAUAAUCGACUCCCCCCAUUGGUUGUUUUAUAAUGUGAGUCAAAGGGGUUUAUUAGAAGUAUCUAAGUCACACCAGACUAUUGAGAUGCAUCUUAUUGUUAUACAGGUUAAAAKGUCUACAGUCUCACUAAUUGGAUCUCUUGCUAUAGCAGACGCAGCAGACUGAGCUCUCACGCCCAAUACCCUAGCUGUUGUUUUUAAAAACAAAACGUUCUCUCUAUUUGGUGUGUGCUUGUAUCAGUCAUAGGAUGACUUGCGUUCACCCAAAGUUUGUGCCAUUUUCGCUACUCAGUCCUCACUUAGACUAGGGCUGAACUUCUAUCGCAGGAGUUUGGCACUGGCCCAAGUACAUAUUGUAUGCCCCAAGUGUGUUUCAGUUGGAUGUAUGUCUUUGCCGUUGUUUUAAAGAUAUGCUUGGUCUAGUGCGUAUGGGAGGUGGCGUUAAAGGGACAGACAAACUGACCUGAACUUGAAGAUCAGAGCGGUGCCAAACGGAACCCUUCCGCCGACAUUGGGCUCUACUUUUGAUUGGGCAAGUGUGCUCUGGUCUAAAAUAGUGCACUACAUAGGGGAUAGGGUACCAUUUCAGAUGCACACUAAAAGACUAGGUGCUCUAAAGGGUCUUUCCUCGUAGCGGGGGGAGAGAGAGGGAGAAAGUUCUGGGUCCUUCCAGAACUGUGGAAAGGGAAUAAUUUUGAUUCCAUUCUGGAAUCUUGUGUAGGUACUUCCGCAAGUUUGCAAUGCCUUUUCUUUCUUUUUACUUCAGUGCGUAUGUGUGUGUCGUCUCCACAGACAUACAGCCGCAUAUAUAUAUAUAGAUAUAUAUAUAUACACACACACACACGCCUGUGUAUGACUGAGGAGCAGAGCGGUAGCUACACAGACAGCGUUAUUACUAUGCAAGUGGGUUAUUUUUGUGUGCCCCAUUAUUUCUGUUUCCAAUGACAACCACUGCUUGUUAUAUUGAAGUGAUGUUAUUGUAAACUCGAGUUGGAAUGACUAGGCCUGUGUGAUCGGUGGGCUAGGCUAGAUGGUUGCUAGUCAGCCUCAGCCCAGUUACAAGUGAACCACAACUCUUGCAUUUGUAUGCAAGCCCUGAUGUGUUGUAUUCCUAUCUGUUAGUCUAUGGAAGGGUCUGUGUGUGUGCGCCAGUGGUCGGGUAUCUGUCUCUCGUCUGAGCGAUGGGAGCGAGGGAAUAGCAAGACUGGUUUCAAAUGACACCCUAUUCUCUCUCAUACAGUGCAUGCUAUUUAACCUUAGUACUGGUCUAAAGUAGUGCCCUAUAUAGGGGUUAGGGUGUCAUUGUAGACGACCACUUGAUGUUCCGCCACUGUUUUAACCUAACACCUACGGCUAGUAUGAAAAUGCACAUGGGGAGCGACUUGCACUCUGUAGUGGAUGACUUCAUACCCUCCCUAGUGCACUACAGUCCUCUACACUGAGAUUGUGUUAGGAGCCAAUGUCAGUCUGUUAGUAUAGCAACUUUUACCCACCAAUCGACCUGGCUAAUAUACAUCGCCUUUUUUACAAGGUGUCGGUCUCCAAUGGCACCCUAUUCAGAAUAUAGUGCACCACUUUUGAUUAGAUCUUUGGUUUCUUGUGGAGGGUAGUGGUGCUAUAUAGGAAAUAGGGUGCCAUUUGGGACUUGUCUGCUUUUAGUGAAUAGAACCAGCGUCUGUCAGAAGAGCUCUAAAACACUAUCUCUGGUUGGAGAUUUGUCAAUGCUGUCAAAGAUGUCCACAAUUUUUACAGAUUCUAUUAAGACUGAAAUGCAGUGUGACGUCUAUGGAUUUAACUCGAAUCCCUAUGGUCUACACGAGCUUCCUCUCCGCAUCUACUUUCCUUUAUUUGAUGUGAAAGAAACUGGAGCAGGUGAAAGCCAAUCCCUUGGUAGAUCCACCAUUUUGUUUUCAUCUAUUUAGAUCAGUGCAGAUCGGAGAGAAAGCCUCUUUAGACAAUUGAGAACACGAAACACUUGCAUCACAAUGAGUGAUUUUAAACUUAACGGACGCCAUUUUGUGAAAGGUGGCGGCUCCUCUGUCCUGGCCAACUAAUCUGAGCAGGAACUCCUAAAAUGGCUGCCAAACUAGCAGUGGUCACGGAGUGACAGCCUGGCUUUUGUUUUGAAACAUUUUAUGUACUGGUAUUUUUUUCUAUUUUAUUUUUUAAUAAACUUCUUAAAACGGGCA